rnacentral:tRNA from 1 species
GGUCCUGUAGCUCAGUGGUUAGAGCGAUGGUCUUAUGAGCUAUAGGCCAUGGGUUUGACACCCGCCGGGACUA